UUGCCUUUACAUCUGUGUAAUUCUCCUUUUGUGCUUACUUCAGAGCAAACAUCGGAUUUGUGUUUUCCUGCUGUGGCUGCCCCUGUGUCGUCGUGCCAGUACACCAUGGUUCCCCUGCAGGGACUUGCCCUGGUUGGCCACUGCCCGCUGGAUGGCCACAUAACGGCUCCCCAUGGCGUCUACCCAGCCAACGGAGAAUACACUCCAAAUGGCAAACCUCACCACGCCACACACUGCCUGCCGGGGCUGCAGCAGGAGGAGGUGGACUGUGAUAUGGAGUGUGACACGUUGUUGCCACAGACGGUGUCAAAUGGACAUCUUUACCACUACUCCACCAGUGGUUCAGAUCUUCAUGAACAGAGCUGCUGUCCUCCUGAUGACUCCACUCUUCAGCUCCUCAACUCAUCCCAUCAGCGCUUCAGUUCACAGGAACUGGGAGGCGAUGGCAACUUCUCUGGAGGAGAUAAAGCAGAGGAUGGCAUCACUAACAAGUCGGCGUCCUUUCCUCUUCUCUCUCUAGAAGACGAAGGGAUUUUCACCACAUCAUCUUCAGCAGCCACAACGCCACAAUCCCAAGAUACAACAAUACAGGAAGUGAACAUCCUCCCAAAUGAAGCAGCCCCUGAGGACGAAGGGACAGGCAACACAACAGAUGCAUAA
rnacentral:lncRNA from 15 species